UAGGGAAUCUUCCACAAUGGGCGAAAGUCUGAUGGAGCAACGCCGCGUGAGUGAAGAAGGUUUUCGGAUCGUAAAGCUCUGUUGUUGGUGAAGAAGGAUAGAGGCAGUAACUGGUCUUUAUUUGACGGUAAUCAACCAGAAAGUCACGGCUAACUACGUGCUAG
rnacentral:rRNA from 1 species